UUUUGUAUAAUGGGUCAGCGACUUAUAUUCUGUAGCAAGGUUAACCGAAUAGGGGAGCCGAAGGGAAACCGAGUCUUAACUGGGCGUUAAGUUGCAGGGUAUAGACCCGAAACCCGGUGAUCUAGCCAUGGGCAGGUUGAAGGUUGGGUAACACUAACUGGAGGACCGAACCGACUAAUGUUGAAAAAUUAGCGGAUGACUUGUGGCUGGGGGUGAAAGGCCAAUCAAACCGGGAGAUAGCUGGUUCUCCCCGAAAGCUAUUUAGGUAGCGCCUCGUGAAUUCAUCUCCGGGGGUAGAGCACUGUUUCGGCAAGGGGGUCAUCCCGACUUACCAACCCGAUGCAAACUGCGAAUACCGGAGAAUGUUAUCACGGGAGACACACGGCGGGUGCUAACGUCCGUCGUGAAGAGGGAAACAACCCAGACCGCCAGCUAAGGUCCCAAAGUCAUGGUUAAGUGGGAAACGAUGUGGGAAGGCCCAGACAGCCAGGAUGUUGGCUUAGAAGCAGCCAUCAUUUAAAGAAAGCGUAAUAGCUCACUGGUCGAGUCGGCCUGCGCGGAAGAUGUAACGGGGCUAAACCAUGCACCGAAGCUGCGGCAGCGACGCUUAUGCGUUGUUGGGUAGGGGAGCGUUCUGUAAGCCUGUGAAGGUGUGCUGUGAGGCAUGCUGGAGGUAUCAGAAGUGCGAAUGCUGACAUAAGUAACGAUAAAGCGGGUGAAAAGCCCGCUCGCCGGAAGACCAAGGGUUCCUGUCCAACGUUAAUCGGGGCAGGGUGAGUCGACCCCUAAGGCGAGGCCGAAAGGCGUAGUCGAUGGGAAACAGGUUAAUAUUCCUGUACUUGGUGUUACUGCGAAGGGGGGACGGAGAAGGCUAUGUUGGCCGGGCGACGGUUGUCCCGGUUUAAGCGUGUAGGCCGGUUUUCCAGGCAAAUCCGGAAAAUCAAGGCUGAGGCGUGAUGACGAGGCACUACGGUGCUGAAGCAACAAAUGCCCUGCUUCCAGGAAAAGCCUCUAAGCAUCAGGUAACAUCAAAUCGUACCCCAAACCGACACAGGUGGUCAGGUAGAGAAUACCAAGGCGCUUGAGAGAACUCGGGUGAAGGAACUAGGCAAAAUGGUGCCGUAACUUCGGGAGAAGGCACGCUGAUAUGUAGGUGAAGUCCCUCGCGGAUGGAGCUGAAAUCAGUCGAAGAUACCAGCUGGCUGCAACUGUUUAUUAAAAACACAGCACUGUGCAAACACGAAAGUGGACGUAUACGGUGUGACGCCUGCCCGGUGCCGGAAGGUUAAUUGAUGGGGUUAGCGGUAACGCGAAGCUCUUGAUCGAAGCCCCGGUAAACGGCGGCCGUAACUAUAACGGUCCUAAGGUAGCGAAAUUCCUUGUCGGGUAAGUUCCGACCUGCACGAAUGGCGUAAUGAUGGCCAGGCUGUCUCCACCCGAGACUCAGUGAAAUUGAACUCGCUGUGAAGAUGCAGUGUACCCGCGGCAAGACGGAAAGACCCCGUGAACCUUUACUAUAGCUUGACACUGAACAUUGAGCCUUGAUGUGUAGGAUAGGUGGGAGGCUUUGAAGUGUGGACGCCAGUCUGCAUGGAGCCGACCUUGAAAUACCACCCUUU
rnacentral:rRNA from 1 species